AUUGAACGCUGGCGGCAGGCUUAACACAUGCAAGUCGAGCGCGCGGCGGACGGGUGAGUAAUGUCUGGGAAACUGCCUUAUUGAGGGGGAUAACUACUGGAAACGGUAGCUAAUACCGCAUACCAUCAGAUGUGCCCAUAUGGGAUUAGCUAGUGGGUGGGGUAAUGGCUCCCCUCGGCGACGAUCCCUAGCUGGUCUGAGAGGAUGACCAGCCACACGGGAACUGAGAAACGGCAAGGACUCCUACGGGAGGCAGCAGUGGGGAAUAUUGCACAAUGGGCGCAAGCCUGAUGCAGCCAUGCCGCGUGUAUGAAGAAGGCACUCGGGUUGUAAAGUACUUUCAGCGAGGAGGCGUUACUGGCAGAAGAAGCACCGGCUAACUCCGUGCCAGCAGCCGCGGUAAUAC
rnacentral:rRNA from 1 species